GUGCUACUUUCAGCAACACAUAUGCUAAAAUUAGAAUGACACAGAGAAGAUUAAGCAUGGUUCCUGCAAAAGGAAGACAUGUAAAUUCGUGAAGUGUUCCAUAUCUUU